rnacentral:rRNA from 1 species
AUGCUAGUGGAUCUGGUGGUGAUGCUGGUGCUGCUGCGGCUUCCUGCUCUGUUUGAAGUGUCACAGUGUCCUUUUCCAAUCUUUGAAGAUAAGUUGGAAUUCAAGGUAGAAAAUAUUUUGUGGAACGCCACUUCCUAUAGGAAGGGUGAUAGGCUUCCCAAAAUUCAUUCAUCUAUAGAAAAACGUAAUGGCCUUGGGUUCGAGUCCUCCACCGUUCCGACUUUGAUGAAGUACCUGAAGUUGUUUAUGUUGUCCUUGAUGAGGAAUGCUUCAGGAGGAUGGUCGUCACAUAAGAUGCAGUAG